UUGACUAAAACUUUUAAUUUUUUUAGGGAUUGCAAUUAACUUAGAUAAUAUUUAGUUUAUUGUUUUGGGAGUAAGAUUACCAGUAGAUCUUUAUAUAUUUAUUUUGUUUUCCGUUUUAAGUUUGUUGCGUAGGAACCCCACCUAAAAGAAUCACAACAAUUUCAAGCUUAUAACAAACAAGAAAAUAAGCACCCACCAACCAAAGUUU
rnacentral:lncRNA from 1 species